CCUACGGGUGGCAGCAGUGAGGAAUAUUGGUCAAUGGGCGAGAGCCUGAACCAGCCAAGUCGCGUGAGGGAGUACUGCCCUAUGGGUUGUAAACCUCUUUUGUCGGGGAGCACAAGCCGGACGUGUCCGGCUGUUAGAGUACCCGAAGAAAAAGCCUCGGCUAACUCCGUGCCAGCCGCCGCGGUAAGCCGGAGGAUGCGAGCGUUAUCCGGAUUUAUUGGGUUUAAAGGGUGCGCAGGCGGAUUUUUACGUCAGCGGUAAAAUCGUGGGGCUCAACCCCAUCCAGCCGUUGAAACUGGGGAUGUAGAGUGGGAGAGAGGUAUGCGGAAUGCGUGGUGUAGCGGUGAAAUGCAUAGAUAUCACGCAGAACCCCGAUGGCGAAGGCAGCAUACCGGUGCACAACUGACGCUCAGGCACGAAAGCGUGGGUAUCGAACAGGAUUAGAUACCCUAGUAGUC
rnacentral:rRNA from 1 species